rnacentral:rRNA from 1 species
GGUAAGGUCGGGCCAGCAGCGUCGGUAAUACGUCGGGGGCAAGUGUUAUCCGUAAUGUUGUGGCGUAAAUCGCGCUUAGGCGGUGUUGUAAGUCUGUUGUGAAAGCCCACGGCGCAACCGUGGAGGGUCAUUGGAAACUGGAAAACUUGAGUGCAGAAGAGGAAAGUGGAAUUCCAUGUGUAGCGGUGAAAUGCGCAGAGAUAUGGAGGAACACCAGUGGCGAAGGCGACUUUCUGGUCUGCAACUGACGCUGAUGUGCGAAAGCGUGGGGAUCAAACAGGAUUAGAUACCCCAGUAGUC